AUACGUAGGGUGCAAGCGUUAUUCGGAAUCACUGGGCGUAAAGGACGCGUAGGCGGGUUGGCAAGUCAGAUGUGAAGUCCUACAGCUUAACUGUAGAACUGCAUUUGAAACUGCUAACCUAGAGUAUGGGAGGGGGAGAUGGAAUUAGUGGUGUAGGGGUAAAAUCCGUAGAUAUCACUAGGAAUACCGAAAGCGAAGGCGAUCUCCUGGAACAUAACUGACGCUAAGGCGUGAAAGCGUGGGGAGCAAGCAGGAUUAGAUACCCUAGUAGUCC
rnacentral:rRNA from 1 species